UACGAAGGGGACUAGCGUUGUUCGGAAUCACUGGGCGUAAAGCGCACGUAGGCGGAUAUGUCAGUCAGGGGUGAAAUCCCGGGGCUUAACCUCGGAACUGCCUUUGAUACAGCAUAUCUUGAGUCCGAUAGAGGUGGGUGGAAUUCCUAGUGUAGAGGUGAAAUUCGUAGAUAUUAGGAAGAACACCCGUGGCGAAGGCGGCUCUCUGGAACGCAACUGACGCUGAGACGCGAAAGCGUGGGGAGCAAACAGG
rnacentral:rRNA from 1 species